UUUUCUCAGAACUGUAGUAAAUGAAUGGACCUCUGUGAGAUGCCGGCAUGCACUGGGGCUGGGGUUAGGUACAAAGAUGGAUGAAAAUGGUCCUUGGCCUCAGGCUGCACAGAGGAGUAGAAAUACUUCACAUUUAUGGCUUCCAAAUUAAUUUCAUGUACAUCAACACCGACACCAACUUCAAGAGGUUAAAAGUCUUGACAGGCUCGACUGGGUUCUCACAAGGCCAAAUCAAAGUGUCAGCCAGGCGGAAUUAACUGGAGGCCAUGGAGAAACAUCUGUUUCUAAGUUUAUGUGGUUAUUGGAAGAAUUCAAUUCAAUUCAAUUCCUCGCAGCUCCCCGGUCUUUGCAAGGGGUGCCCUCCGUCUUCAAAGCCAGCAACGGCUCAGCAAAUCCUUCUUGCACUUGGAAUCGCUGGCUUUCUCUUCAAUUGCUAACCAGAGAGAACUCUCUUCUUUGAAGGUAAUACAUUCCCAGACUCCUGAGGAAGAAGGAUUCGGAUCUUCUUACACAAAAAACGAAGUCAGUUGGCAUUCACUAUGAAUUCCUUUGAGAUGCAAGUUUGCAUUUAAACA